rnacentral:SRP_RNA from 1 species
UCGUGCAGCCGGGGCGGUAGCGGUGCCCUGAACCCGAAAUCCGCUUUAUGCGGGGGUGAUGCCGCGCAGAGGGCUCUUCCCGGCCGAAGGAGGCCUUUGGACCGGGCGUCGAAGGCCGGGUCCCAUGCAAUGGGGCGGUGCGAACCUGGUCAGGCCCUGACGGGAGCAGCCAUAAGCAUGCGGUCCCAUGUGCAGUGGGGGCGCCUGGCUGGAGCCCGGGACGCUGGUCUUCUUUUUCCGGGAGGGUUCGAAGCGCGGCGCACGA